UACGAAGGGGGCUAGCGUUGCUCGGAAUCACUGGGCGUAAAGGGUGCGUAGGCGGGUCUUUAAGUCAGGGGUGAAAUCCUGGAGCUCAACUCCAGAACUGCCUUUGAUACUGAAGAUCUUGAGUUCGGGAGAGGUGAGUGGAACUGCGAGUGUAGAGGUGAAAUUCGUAGAUAUUAGGAAGAACACCAGUGGCGAAGGCGGCUCACUGGUCCAUUACUGACGCUGAGGUGCGAAAGCGUGGGGAGCAAACAGGG
rnacentral:rRNA from 1 species